GGAAUAUAGCUCAGAGGCAAAGCACCUGCCUGCCAAGUAUGAAGUCCUGAGUUCAAUUCCCAGUACCA
rnacentral:tRNA from 1 species